UGUGUGUGUGUGUGUGUGUUUGUGAAAGAAAGACUAUAUAACAGUGGAUCAGCCUUAGGAAUGAUAAAAGAGUAGUUUGAACGAAUUAAUGAAUGACUUAUAAACCAUCAGAGGAUCAAACAGGGGGAAGAAUGGGACUGAGGUAAUUUAGAGGUGAGGAGAGAGGAGGAGAGAGGAGGAACACAGGGGUUAGGAGAGAGGAAGAGAGAGGAGAGGAGGAGAGAGGAGGAACACAGAGGUGAGGAGAGAGGAAGAGAGAGGAGGUGAGGAGAGAGGAGGAGAGAGGAGGAACACAGAGGUGAGGAGAGAGGAGGAGAGAGGAGGAGGAACACAGAGGUGAGGAGAGAGGAGGAACACAGAGGUGAGGAGAGAGGAGGAGAGGAGAGAGGAGGAACACAGGGUUGAGGAGGAACACAGGGUUGAGGAGAGAGGAAGAGAGAGGAGGAACACAGGGGUGAGGAGAGAGGAAGAGAGAGGAGGUGAGGAGAGAGGAGGAGAGGAGAGGAGAGAGGAGGAGAGAGGAGGAGAGGAGAGGAGAGAGGAGGUGAGGAGAGAGGAGGAGAGGAGAGGAGAGAGGAGGUGA
ensembl:lncRNA